rnacentral:rRNA from 1 species
GCUAACACAUGCAAGUCGAACGGCAGCACAGGAGAGCUUGCUCUCUGGGUGGCGAGUGGCGGACGGGUGAGGAAUACAUCGGAAUCUACUUUUUCGUGGGGGAUAACGUAGGGAAACUUACGCUAAUACCGCAUACGACCUACGGGUGAAAGCAGGGGAUCUUCGGACCUUGCGCGAUUGAAUGAGCCGAUGUCGGAUUAGCUAGUUGGCGGGGUAAAGGCCCACCAAGGCGACGAUCCGUAGCUGGUCUGAGAGGAUGAUCAGCCACACUGGAACUGAGACACGGUCCAGACUCCUACGGGAGGCAGCAGUGGGGAAUAUUGGACAAUGGGCGCAAGCCUGAUCCAGCCAUACCGCGUGGGUGAAGAAGGCCUUCGGGUUGUAAAGCCCUUUUGUUGGGAAAGAAAUCCAGCUGGUUAAUACCCGGUUGGGAUGACGGUACCCAAAGAAUAAGCACCGGCUAACUUCGUGCCAGCAGCCGCGGUAAUACGAAGGGUGCAAGCGUUACUCGGAAUUACUGGGCGUAAAGCGUGCGUAGGUGGUCGUUUAAGUCCGUUGUGAAAGCCCUGGGCUCAACCUGGGAACUGCAGUGGAUACUGG